AUGAACGCUGGCGGCGUGCCUAAUACAUGCAAGUCGAGCGAACAGACGAGGAGCUUGCUCCUCUGACGUUAGCGGCGGACGGGUGAGUAACACGUGGAUAACCUACCUAUAAGACUGGGAUAACUUCGGGAAACCGGAGCUAAUACCGGAAAAUAUAUUGAACCGCAUGGUUCAAUAGUGAAAGACGGUUUUGCUGUCACUUAUAGAUGGAUCCGCGCCGCAUUAGCUAGUUGGUAAGGUAACGGCUUACCAAGGCAACGAUGCGUAGCCGACCUGAGAGGGUGAUCGGCCACACUGGAACUGAGACACGGUCCAGACUCCUACGGGAGGCAGCAGUAGGGAAUCUUCCGCAAUGGGCGAAAGCCUGACGGAGCAACGCCGCGUGAGUGAUGAAGGUCUUCGGAUCGUAAAACUCUGUUAUUAGGGAAGAACAAAUGUGUAAGUAACUAUGCACGUCUUGACGGUACCUAAUCAGAAAGCCACGGCUAACUACGUG
rnacentral:rRNA from 1 species